rnacentral:lncRNA from 1 species
AUGAAGAAACGUAAAUAUUUGGAGGAUGUGGAUACAGAACCUUGGGCUAGAGGUGUGGUUUUCCCAAGGGAUUUCCUUCUACAUCUUCCCUGUCCGAGAGCAGGAAGCAUUCUAUCUCUGGCCGCGUUCACACCCCUCUGGCUCACCCAGAUCCACUCACCUUCCCAGGGAAGGGCGGCUCACAGGGCUCCUUAUGGAAGUGGCAGCAGAGCCCAGGGGUGCUGGACAGCUGUGCCCUUGGCUUUUCUCCACAGUUUGGGCCGAGCUUGGCCACUGCCCGUGGCCACACGGGGCCCACACAGCCCUGAGGCCUGCCCUGCCCCGCGGCCCCGCGGCCCGCGGCCCUCAGCAGUGCCAAUCCCUGCAAAACUCAGGCUUCACCCCCGCUCCUGUGCCGUGCCUGCCUCUCAGAGCGAGCAGAAACAGCCUGUGGGAUGGGCUUUUCCCCAAACACCGAACUUGCAUGGCUGUGUUUGCGUCAGCUGCUGCCCCUUGGCGAGGCCACCCAGAGCACUUCUCCAGAGAGCACAAUUUCAGUCCAUCGCGGAUAUACUCAGCUUCACUCUCAAACUCCAGUAUCACGCUGGAAGAAUAAUAAAAUCCUCAUGCUUCUCCCUGGCAGAGGGCUAUUGCCUGCCUCUCUCUUGAUUCCCAAGAUAGCAGCUACCAAUGGCUCCCCGGAACAAAGAUCUCCACAUGUGCUUGCAACAAGCUCUCAAAACAGCACAGAUGACGGGGACAUGGGACCAAAGAAACAAAACCUUUUUAGUUCCCCUUGUGUGUUUGCAGAUGAUUGAAAAAACAGACUCAAAAGAAUGCCCAAUUCAGCAAAACUUUGAAUGGCAUGGAAUGAGCAAUUCCUGGCACAGGCUGUGAAUUCCAGGUCUGAUUCAUGCAAACUUGGGUAACACUGUGCAGUAAGAGUUAGGGAAGGCAAGAGAACAUCACACUGGACAGUGAGCUGAACAGCAGGGCUGGUUUGUUCAGGUGCUUCACCUCUGCUUUACAGAAACAUCAGCUCAGAAGUGCUGCCUAAAUGUGGGUGGUGCCUGCCCUGCUUUUCCAUUGCAGAUCUGAUCUGUGCCUUUUCCACAAGGUGCAAUUUAGGUAAAAAAUGUUUCCAUUUUUUGUGCCAGUGGCAAUAUGAGAAGCAAAGCAAUAUGGAAUGUGGUCCAAAUAAUUCAUUUAGUAAAAAUAAUAAUAAUAAUAAAAAAGUGUAUAGUUUCUUGUUUGAAGCA